GACGAACGCUGGCGGCGUGCUUAACACAUGCAAGUCGAACGGAAAGGCCCUGCUUUUGUGGGGUGCUCGAGUGGCGAACGGGUGAGUAACACGUGAGUAACCUGCCCUUGACUUUGGGAUAACUUCAGGAAACUGGGGCUAAUACCGGAUAGGAGCUCCUGCUGCAUGGUGGGGGUUGGAAAGUUUCGGCGGUUAGGGAUGGACUCGCGGCUUAUCAGCUUGUUGGUGGGGUAGUGGCUUACGAAGGCUUUGACGGGUAGCCGGCCUGAGAGGGUGACCGGCCACAUUGGGACUGAGAUACGGCCCAGACUCCUACGGGAGGCAGCAGUGGGGAAUAUUGCACAAUGGGCGGAAGCCUGAUGCAGCAACGCCGCGUGCGGGAUGACGGCCUUCGGGUUGUAAACCGCUUUCGCCUGUGACGAAGCGUGAGUGACGGUAAUGGGUAAAGAAGCACCGGCUAACUACGUG
rnacentral:rRNA from 1 species